rnacentral:rRNA from 1 species
AAUGAACGCUGGCGGCGUGCCUAACACAUGCAAGUCGAACGAGAAAGGGGGAUUCGUCCCCCGAGUAGAGUGGCGCACGGGUGAGUAACGCGUGGGUGACCUGCCCUGGAAUUUGGGAUAACACUGCGAAAGUGGUGCUAAUACCGGAUACGAUCCUUCAGUGAUGGAGGGUGAAAGUCGGCCUCUCGAAGAAGCUGAUGUUCUGGGAUGGGCUCGCGUCCUAUCAGCUAGUUGGUAGGGUAAUGGCCUACCAAGGCUGUGAUGGGUAGCCGGCCUGAGAGGGUGAACGGCCACACUGGAACUGAGACACGGUCCAGACUCCUACGGGUGGCUG